AUAAACAAUACUUCUUACUCAUGUUUAAUCCACCGUAUUAAAGGGAUUGUGUCAGACGUGCUCCAAACUUGAACUUUUUCCUCAGCCAUCAAGAGAUCCCUUUGAAAGGCCGCCGCUUGGAAUAGAAGGAGCUAAUUAUUUUACCAUCACUGAGGUCAUCAGCAGACAGCCGAUGUGAUGCGCACUCACGGGGCCGAGGCCUAUUCACGUUUGUUUUGAUCACAACAGCAGAUGACAAUCUCGUGAAGCCUGCAGACCCUCUUCCUCUCGAAAUGAUCCGAGCUGAAGGUGCUGCCGUUUCAAUGAGGAGAUCCGAGCCACGCAGGGAGCCCGUUGGCGAGGAGGAAGGCAUUGUCUCUCACUUCCAUGUUCUCUCGAUGAACCGAGGAUAACCUCAUGGACACAUGUAGGCAGAGCUGCGAGGGAGAAUGGAUAUGUUCUAUCAAGGAUGUGACACCGUGUUUCAAUUCAUGGUCCAAAAUAGUUUUUUUUCCGCCAAGGGAAACAUUCAGUGAUGUCAUACGCUGCCUGUCAGUGGACAUGGCCACACAUAUCUCCAGAUGCUUGCUGUGACCGCCCCCACCAUACCAGACACACACCCCUCCAGCUUCGGAUUCCCCUCGCCACCAAAAAUUGAACGGUAUGUGCAGGGGGUCAGAUCAGGCAGUGAGUGACAACAGGUUUGCACGAUCAGCUCUCUGAGAAAGGACGGGCUGGUCAGACUCAAGGAGACAGAGAACGGGUGAAGUGUGCUGCAUUGGAUUACAUCUCAGUCAACCUUUUGCCUUUAUCUGCUGUAUUUGUGCAGAUAGAUUGGAUUGUGAGCUCAGCAGAAACCCAGAAACUUGUGUUGAGUGUGGUUUCUAUUUGUCUUUCUGUUUAGCUCACCUUUGUCUUACCAGCGCUGGUGGUAGC